rnacentral:tRNA from 1 species
CCUCCCAUAGCUCAAUUGGUUAGAGUGCCCGCUUAGUAAGCGGAGGUCUUGAAUUCGACUUUCAAUGAGAGCA